UGAGGGGAUAUAGCAAUGCCCCGCCCAUAAAGCGGGGCAAUUGCAAUGGGGGUCCUCUAAACCCUCCACCGAGUAACAAUUGGAGGACAAGUCUGGUGCCAGCACCCGCGGUAAUUCCAGCUCCGAUAGCAUCUAAUUAAGUUGUUGCAGUUAAAACGCUCGUAGUCUAAGCCAGUGCGCCCUCUGGCCGUCCGGUACCGGGGCAGGGCGCCCACACCGCCGUGGGGGCGGCCCGCGAGGGCUGCUCCUGUGGCGGGCGAGGGCGCCAGCAACGGGGAAGGCGGAUUCGGGGGGCCACUACCUUAGCCUGGGGGCUACGGGGGCGGGGAACUUCAUUGGCCCCCGCCCCUCUCCAGGCCGAUUACUUUGACUAAAUGUGAGCGCUCGAUGCAGGCCCUUGGGGCCUUGAAACCCGCAGCAAAGAAUAACAGAACAGGGGCUCCCUGCCUCCUCUGGCCAGGAUGGGUCAAUGAUUUAUUGGGGGGAUCGGGGUGGGCCACAUGGCGGGGGUAGGGGUGAAAUCCGUUGAUCCUCGCCAGGUGAACUAGAGCGAAAGCAGCCCACAAGUACCCUUUCUUAGAUCAAGAACGAAAGUCUGGGGAUCGAAGAUGAUCAGAUACCAUCGUAGUCCAGACCCUAAAUGUUGCCGGCCAUGGAUGGGCACUAGUCCAUCCCGACCCGGCCCGGACCUUGUGAGAAAUCAUAAGCGUUUGGGCUCCGGGGGGAGUAUGGUCGCAAGACUGAAACUUAAAGGAAUUGACGGAAGAGCACACAAGGAGUGGAGCCUGCGGCUUAAUUUGACUCAACACGGGGAAACUCACUAGGGCAAGAGGGGGGUAGGAUGGACAGCCCAGCAGGGCUUUCCUGAUUCCUCCAGUGGUGGUGCAUGGUCGUUCUUAGUUCGUGGAUUGAUUUGUCUGGUCUAUUCCGCUAACGAGCGAGAACCCUCCCUUUCGAGGUUGGGCCCCUGGGCACGCCGCCCGGGCCUGCCCGGCGUCUCACAAGUGGCGCUGGGCGGGCCUGGGUGGCUGAAAACGCCCCUGGGCAUUCAGUCCGGAGGGACCGGCUCCGAGAAGGAGCCGGCAGCGGGUCAAUAACAGGUCAGUGAUGCCCUUAGAUGCUCUAGGCUGCACGCGCGCUACAAUGGGGCGAACACCGGGCUCUCCUGUGCCUAACGGCGGCGGGUAAUCCGGUUAAAGCGCCCCGUAUCCGGGAUAGGGCCAUGUAACUUGGCCCUUAAACAAGGAAUUUCUAGUAGUCGCCCAUCACCAGUGGGCGACGAUUCUGUCCCUGCUCUUUGUACACACCGCCCGUCGCUCCUACCGAUUGGGCUGCACGGUGAGUUGCCUGGAGGAGGCGGAGGCCCGUAGUGGGGUAUCAUGCACCGAAGGGAGGCGAACCCUGUGGUCUAGAGGAAGGAGAAGUCGUAACAAGGUAUCCGUAGGUGAACCUGCA
rnacentral:rRNA from 1 species